AGUAACAUCAUCAAAUGGGCUUUAAGCAGCAUUGGCUGAAAGAUGGGCACAGUAAAGCUCUGACUAGCAACAGAAAGUGACUAUAUGACCAAAUCAACCGUCAUAACAUGUCAUAUAGCUUCUUCUUCUUUGUUGUUUAAUGGCGGUUUGCAAACUGAGAUGUGUAGAUUACUGCUUUGGCUUACAAUCCAAAUUGUUCAUUUUCAUAAAAUUAGAAAUACAUUCUAUGAACAAAAGAUCUUACAAUUUUCUUUAACUCCUGUCAUUUAUACUUCAUAAUUACUUAGUAUUCAAUUCCAAUUAAUUAGUUCCCAUUUGUUAUUUGUUUCCUGUCCGCUUUUAGGUCGCCCCAGGCGCCUCGGGAGGGACGUCUCGUUCCCGGAUGUGUUCAAGAGGAGAAGAGUUCAUCAACAAAAAUAACGAUCCCUACAUCAGUGGAAGUUUGCGGUCACACAGAGGCCACAAUCUAAAUUCUUCUCCUCCUCUUACACCACGAAAUCCUGGCGGCUGUCUAACACUCAGAUAUGUAUCCAGGAGGCGUGUAUGUGGACUCAGAAAACUUCAGAAACCUUGGAGAGACAAGACACAGCAAUGUUAAUUCUGCAGUCCUUUCCAUUUCAACCAAAGGAGCAUGGGAUAAAAUACAAGCCAAUUCUGCAUCUUUGUAAUGCAGUAAUCACUGUAAUUCCACUGCUCUUAAUGUAGAUCGUAAAGGA